AGUGAACGCGGGCGGUAGGCCUAACACAUGCAAGUCGAACGGCAGCACAGUAAGAGCUUGCUCUUACGGGUGGCGAGUGGCGGACGGGUGAGGAAUACAUCGGAAUCUACUUUUUCGUGGGGGAUAACGUAGGGAAACUUACGCUAAUACCGCAUACGACCUACGGGUGAAAGCAGGGGAUCUUCGGACCUUGCGCGAUUGAAUGAGCCGAUGUCGGAUUAGCUAGUUGGCGGGGUAAAGGCCCACCAAGGCGACGAUCCGUAGCUGGUCUGAGAGGAUGAUCAGCCACACUGGAACUGAGACACGGUCCAGACUCCUACGGGAGGCAGCAGUGGGGAAUAUUGGACAAUGGGCGCAAGCCUGAUCCAGCCACACCGCGUGGGUGAAGAAGGACUUCGGGUUGUAAAGCCCUUUUGUUGGGAAAGAAAAGCAGCAGGUUAAUACCCCGCUGUUCUGACGGUACCCAAAGAAUAAGCACCGGCUAACUUCGUG
rnacentral:rRNA from 1 species